UUAUUCCGCCGCACCUCCAUCUUCAUCGCACAACCCUAUUCCGCCGGAGAUCUAGUUCCUCAUCGCAUGCCACCCCUUCUCGUCGUUUAGAGUUCGUUUUUGUAGCUGGAGAUCUGUUCUUCACCGCACACCGCUAUGGUGGUAUGGCGAAGACGAGCGGGACGAUGGCGGAAGGAACGGCGGUGACGGCGGAAGGAGUGGGCUUCUGUUUUGGUCGGAGAUCUUGUUGAUUCGGGUCUCAACAUCGGUAACGAUAACAAUAGAAGGGUCUAAACCCUAGCAAUGGUGGCGGUUCCAAAACAGAUCCGAUGAGCAGGAGAAAGAGAGAGUGGUGGACCAGGCGGUUGUGGUGUUAUGAGUUUAGAGAGAAAGAGAGAGUGGCAGUGGUGGUGUUAUGAGUUUAGAGCGAGAGAGAGAGUGGCGGUGGAGUAGCUCCGAUGAUGGUGGUGGUCAUGUCUUAGGCGGUGGCAGUGGUGGACUUGGGCAGUGGUUGACUGGUUUUAUUUUAGAAAGAGAAAAGAAUGAAACAAGCAGCAUUAUU
rnacentral:lncRNA from 1 species